rnacentral:rRNA from 1 species
CUGGCGGCGUGCCUAAUACAUGCAAGUCGAGCGCGGGAAGCAAACUGAAGCCUUCGGGCGGACGUUGUGGAACGAGCGGCGGAUGGGUGAGUAACACGUGGGCAACCUGCCUGUAAGAUUGGGAUAACUUGCGGAAACGUGAGCUAAUACCAAAUAAAGCUUCAUAUCACCUGAUGUGAAGAUGAAAGAUGGCUCCGGCUAUCACUUACGGGUGGGCCCGUGGCGCAUUAGCUAGUUGGUGGGAUAAAAGCUUACCAAGGCAACGAUGCGUAGCCGACCUGAGAGGGUGAUCGGCCACACUGGGACUGAGACACGGCCCAGACUCCUACGGGAGGCAGCAGUAGGGAAUCUUCCGCAAUGGACGCAAGUCUGACGGAGCCAACGCCGCGUGAGUGAUGAAGGUUUUCGGAUCGUAAAACUCUGUUGUUAGGGAAGAACAAGUACCGUUCGAAUAGGUCGGUACCUUGACGGUACCUAACCAGAAAGCCCCGGCUAACUACGUGCCAGCCGCAGC